GCAUAAACCAGUUACAGCAAUUGAUGGAUGCCUUGGCUUCAUCAGGCGAUGAAGGACGCAGCAAGCUGCGAUAAGCUUCGGAUAGCGGCACACACGCUUUGACCCGGAGAUUUCCGAAUGGGGAAACCCGGCACCGAUAAUACGGUGUCACUUCAGGAUGAAUACAUAGUCCUGAUAGAGCAAUACGCGGCGAAGUGAAACAUCUCAGUAACCGCAGGAAAAGAAAGAGAAUCGAUUCCGUAAGUAGUGGCGAGCGAAAGCGGAACAGCCCAAACCAGAGGGAUUUAUCCCUUUGGGGUUGUAGGACCACAACGUGAAAUGCAACGGUUAGACGAACACUCUGGAAAGAGUGACCAAAGAGGGUGACAGUCCCUUAGUCGAAAACCCGAGCAAAUCUAGUGGUAUCCUGAGUAGCACCGGACACGUGAAACCCGGUGUGAAUCCAUGCCGACCACGGCAUAAGGCUAAAUACUCGAUGAAGACCGAUAGUGAACUAGUACCGCGAGGGAAAGGUGAAAAGCACCCCUGUUAGGGGAGUGAAAUAGUAACUGAAAUCAAUUGCUAACAAGUCAGUGGGAGCUCCCAUGUGGAGUCACCGCUUGCCUUUUGUAUAAUGAGUCUGCGAGUUAUUGUCUGUAGCAAGCUUAAGCCGGUACCCGGUGCAAGCGCAGCGAAAGCGAGUCCGAAUAGGGCGUCUAGUUGCUGGCAAUAGACCCGAAGCGGAGGUGAUCUAACCAUGACCAGGAUGAAGCUGCGGUAAAACGCAGUGGAGGUCCGAACCGGUUACUCUUGAGAAAGUAUCGGAUGAGUUGUGGUUAGGAGCGAAAGACUAAUCAAACCCCGUGAUAGCUGGUUCUUUCCGAAAUAUAUUUAGGUAUAGCGUCUGGUGCUGAUCUAUGGAGGUAGAGCACUAAAUAAGCUAGGGCCCCUACCGGGGUACUGAACUUAAUUAAACUCCGAAUGCCAUAGAGUGAAGCCAGGCAGUCAGACGGCGGGUGAUAAGGUCCGUCGUCGAGAGGAGAAUAGUCCAGACCACCAGUUAAGGUCCCAAAAUAUGGCUCAGUGGAAAAGGAUGUGAUUUUGCUUAGACAAUGGGGAUGUUGGCUUAGAGGCAGCCAUCAUUUAAACAGUGCGUAACAGCUGACCCAUCGAGCGAAAUUGCGCCGAAAAUGAUCGGGACUUAAGCCAUAUACCGAAGCUGUGGAUUCACCGCAAGGUGAGUAGUAGGAAAGCGUCCUAAGUGCUGCGAAGCGGAAGGGGUAACCGACCGUGGAGCGCUUAGGAGUGAGAAUGCAGACAUAAGUAACGAUAAAGAUGGUUGAAUUCCAUCUCGCCGAAAUCCCAAGGAUUCCUGGGGAAGGUUCGUCCGCCCAGGGUUAGUCGGGUGCUAAGACGAGGCCGUAAGGAGUAGUCGAUGCCAAGCUGGUUUAAUAUUCCAGCACCACCGGAUUUGCGUUUGACCCAAGGAGUGACGGAGAAAGUUAGAACAGCGACGUGUUGAAUCGUCGUCGAAGCUCGUAGGCUGUCUGGGGAUAAAAGACCAGAUAAGGCUGAAAAGCGAUAGGACCUUGAAGCUACGGCCGAAGGGGAUUGUUCGAUACUACGCUUCCAAGAAAAGCUUCGUGGUUAGCAAGUCAGGUGCCCGUACCGUAAACCGACACAGGUGGGAUAGAUGAGUAUUCUAAGGCGCGCAGGUUAACUCUCUCUAAGGAACUCGGCAAAUUGACCCCGUAUCUUCGGUAUAAGGGGUGCCCCGCAAGGGGCCGCAGUGAACCGCUUCAACCGACUGUUUAGCAAAAACACAGCUCUCUGCUAAGUCGCAAGACGACGUAUAGGGAGUGACACGUGACCAAUGCGGAAAGGUGAAAACGUGAGGUGCAAGCUUCGCGUCUAAGCCCCCGUGAAUGUCGGCCGUAACUAUAACGGUCCUAAGGUAGCGAAAUUCCUUGUCGGGUAAGUUCCGACCCGCACGAAUCGUGUAACGAGUUGAAGGCUGUCUCGGAGAGAUGCCUGGUGAAAUUGUAGUGGCGGUGAAGAUGCCGCCUACCCGCAGCAGGACGGAAAGACCCUAUGCACCUUUACUGUAAGCUGUUAUUGUCGCUUGAUUUUUAAUACGUAGAAUAGGUGGGAGACUUUGAAGCCCGGUUCCAGGAUCGGGCUGAGUCGAAAUGUGAAAUACCACUUUUUAAUUGUUAGGCGUCUAACCCCGACCCAUUAUCUGGGCGUGGGACAGUGAUAGCAGGUCAGUUUUACUGGGGCGGUAUCCUCCAAAAGAGUAACGGAGGAUUUCGAAGGUUCCCUCAGCCCGGUCGGUAAUCGGGCUAUAGAGCGCAUGAGUAUAAGGGAGCUUUACUGUGAGACCUACAAGUCGAGCAGUUGCGAAAGCAGGAUCAAGUGAUCCGGUGGUUGAAUGUGGAAUCGCCAUCGCUCAUAGGACAAAAGGUACGCUAGGGAUAACAGGCUGAUCGCGCCCAAGCGUUCACAGCGACGGCGCGGUUUGGCACCUCGAUGUCGGCUCAUCACAUCCUGGGGCUGGAGAAGGUCCCAAGGGUUCGGCUGUUCGCCGAUUAAAGUGGUACGCGAGCUGGGUUCAGAACGUCGUGAGACAGUUCGGUCCUCUAUCCGCUGUGGGCGUCUGUGAUUUGAGGGGUUCAUUCUCUAGUACGAGAGGACCGAGAAUGACGAACCUCUGGUGUUCCGGUUGUCGCGUCAGCGGCAGUGCCGGGUAGCUAAGUUCGGAAGGGAUAAGCGCUGAAAGCAUCUAAGCGUCAAGCCCAUCCCAAGAUAAGAUCACAAUCCGACGCAAGUUGGUGCAAGGUCCGGGUAGACCACCCGGUUGAUAGGACAGAAAUGUAAGCGUAGUAAUACGUUAAGUUUACUGUUACUAAUGACCUUGCCGGUUUAUGCAA
rfam:Opitutaceae bacterium CV41 contig_35, whole genome shotgun sequence.